CGUGUAGAACAUUUCUUUCUCUUCCUUUGACAUUGCAAAAAUUGUAGGCGGCAACCAAUAUUUUCCAUUAGGAAGUACUUGGGGAUGAAGAUCACGCCUAAUUCCCAUGUGAACUAAAUCAAGUCGACUUUGAAGAUUAUCUUUUGAUUUACCAUCGACGUUCAAAAUUGUCCGGAUGAUGUUCUCGCAGACAUUCUUCUCAAUAUGCAUCACAUCAAGAUUGUGGCGUAAUAUGUGAUGCUCCCAAUAAGGCAACUCAAAAAAAUACUUCUUUUCUUCCACAAGUCCGCCUCAUUAGGGUCAUCCUCCUCGUCAGAUUCAUCAUCAGAUUCAUCCCUCGAUCGUCUGUUUGUUUGCCUGUUAGAUGGUUGAUUCAGCUUCCCGUAACUGAAAUCCAUAUCUUUUAACAUGAAUAAGAUUUCAGAUCCAAUGGUCUGCUCAGGAGCUUUUUUCAACUCUUCAGUACCGUCAAAUAAAGCCUUCUGAAAUCUAUAUCUAUGAUUUUCAUCUAACCACCGACG
rnacentral:lncRNA from 1 species